rnacentral:antisense_RNA from 1 species
CUUCACCGAGCCCAGCCAGAGCGGCUGCUCCUCGGGCCGGUUGCGGCCAUAGGUGGCCAGCAGGGCCUGGGCCUC